rnacentral:rRNA from 1 species
GGGGGGGCCCAACACAUUGCCAAGUCGAAACGCCGUAGCAAUACGGAGUGGCAGACGGGUGAGUAACGCGUGGUAACCAUCCCAAUGGUACGGAAUAACUCGCCGAAAGGCGUGCUUAUACCGAAUAAGCCCGCAAGGGGAAAGAUUUAUCGCCAUUGGAUGGGCCCGCGUCGGAUUAGCUAGUUGGUGAGGUAAUGGCUCACCAAGGCGACGAUCCGUAGCUGGUCUGAGAGGAUGAUCAGCCACACUGGGACUGAGACACGGCCCAGACUCCUACGGGAGGCAGCAGUGGGGAAUAUUGGACAAUGGGCGAAAGCCUGAUCCAGCCAUGCCGCGUGAGUGACGAAGGCCUUAGGGUUGUAAAGCUCUUUUGGCGGGGACGAUAAUGACGGUACCCGCAGAAUAAGCCCCGGCUAACUUCGUGCCAGCAGCCGCGGUAAUAAUCUUU